AUUGAACGCUGGCGGUAUGCUUUACACAUGCAAGUCGAACGGCAGCACGGGGCAACCUGGUGGCGAGUGGCGAACGGGUGAGUAACAUAUCGGAACAUAUCCGGAAGUGGGGGAUAACGUACCGAAAGGUACGCUAAUACCGCAUAUGCCCUGAGGGGGAAAGGGGGGGAUCGCAAGACCUCUCGCUUUCGGAGUGGCCGAUAUCGGAUUAGCUAGAUGGUGAGGUAAAGGCUCACCAUGGCGACGAUCCGUAGCUGGUCUGAGAGGACGACCAGCCACACUGGAACUGAGACACGGUCCAGACUCCUACGGGAGGCAGCAGUGGGGAAUUUUGGACAAUGGGCGCAAGCCUGAUCCAGCCAUACCGCGUGAGUGAAGAAGGCCUUCGGGUUGUAAAGCUCUUUCAGCCGGAAAGAAACGGUCACGGUUAAUAACCGUGGCUAAUGACGGUACCGGAAGAAGAAGCACCGGCUAACUACGUGCCAGCCGCCGCAGUAA
rnacentral:rRNA from 1 species